rnacentral:tRNA from 1 species
UGGCACAGUGGUUGAAGCACUUGGCUGCUAACCAAAAGGUCGGUGGUUCAAAGCCACC